GACGAACGCUGGCGGCGUGCUUAACACAUGCAAGUCGAACGGGCCCGCCCCUGUUUUUGGGGGUGGGUUGAGUGGCGAACGGGUGAGUAUCACGUGAGUAACCUGCCCCCUGCUCCUGGAUAACUGCUUGAAAGGGCGGCUAAUACGGGGUGUGCCGGCUGGUCCGCAUGGGCCUGGUCGGGAUAGUUUCAUCUUCGGGUGUUUCGGUGGGGGAUGGGCUCGCGGCCUAUCAGCUUGUUGGUGGGGUGAUGGCCCACCAAGGCGGUGACGGGUAGCCGGCCUGAGAGGGUGGGCGGCCACACUGGGACUGAGACACGGCCCAGACGACUGCGGGAGGCAGCAGUGGGGGGUAUUGCACAAUGGGCGGAAGCCUGAUGCAGCGACGUCGCGUGAGGGAUGGAGGCCUUCGGGUUGUGAACCUCUUUCUCCGGUGGUGAAGGCCCUGUCCGUUGCGGCGGGGUUGACGGUAGCCGGGUAUGAAGCGCCGGCUAACUACGUG
rnacentral:rRNA from 1 species